rnacentral:lncRNA from 1 species
CAUUCCCUGGGCCAAGGAAGGCCUGUUGGGAAGAGCUUUGGCUGAAGCUCCAUUCAAGAGGCCAUAAUGUGGGGGAAGGAGGUGGGUAGGAGCCUGAGUGGGGAGACAAGACUGGGAAAAGAUGGAGGAGCUUUACCAGAUGGACUCACUGGGGCUACUUUGCUGCCUUGACAGGGAGCCUGGAGUUCCAGGGAUGACCUUUGAGAGGGACAGACUCCCAGCCCAGAGAGACAACCCUGGCUGGCAGCAUGCUAAGCGUUCUGACAUCUUUGUGUGGUGGCAUUUAUUGUCUGGGUUGGUGGUGAGUUUGCCCUGGAGCUGAUUUCAGGUUCCAGCAUCUUGUCUUAGCUUUUUCCUUUUUGGGAGUUCAAGCCUGACUCCUUCCUCCUUCAUAAUCCAAACCCU